UAAUAACUUUAAAAUACAUUCUAAUGCCAUACAAUGUUUGUUGUGUGAGGUUAAACAUAGAUCAGUAAAGAUCUACAAUAGGUGCACAGGUGUGAAAUUUAGGUAGACGUGCACAUGCUAGAAUCACCUAGCCAGCGACAAUCUGUUGUUACUAUAAUGAUCCUUCCGCAGGUUCACCUACGGAAA
rnacentral:misc_RNA from 1 species